AAGAUAAUUUGCGAUGUAGCAUAGUUGAUAGCUUGGCUAGAGAUAGAGCAGUAGAUGUGGAAAAUGGACUUAAAAAAAAACAGCAUUUCUAACCUUGGCUUUAGCUGUCAAGAGAAUCGUUUGCAAAAGAUACAUGAGACAGCACUGGCCCUCCUAUAGGUUGAUAAGCUUUCACUAGAUCACCAAUCAUAGCACAAUGAAGCAACCUUGAAAGAAUUCCUGAGCACA
rnacentral:lncRNA from 1 species